rnacentral:sRNA from 1 species
CUAGGCUCGGCGCCCUUGGCGAGGGGGGCGGGGAGAGCCGAGAAGCCACACAAAGGUUCCACCGAGGCUCGAGACCUGGUAGCCUUCGGGGUGAAGCCAGGGGAUUACAGUGCGGAGUGGAUUUCGGGAGCGAAACUCCGGAGGUUCUGCUGGGUUUGAGAUCUGCCUUUCGGGGCCGGGGCCAAGUACUAAAGUUCUAACCCUGUCGCUUGGCUAUUUCCGUGCCCCUUGACUUCCCUGAGCUUAAGCUCGAGAACUCUGCAGACGCUGCAAGUGUCUGUUCUUUCCUAGGCAUGGCAGCGGCUGUCCUUAGUUGGCUGUAUCUGAGACACUCUGACAACCUAGUGCCCUGGCCUGGGGCCCUUAGGCGAGAUUUUAGCGCAGUUGGUACCCUGUGUUCACGGGAAGUCGUGGGCGGCCUAAUGCUGGCUUGGGUUCUGAGUAGUUCUUGAUACCAUGGUGGGAAUGCCCUGUGGUACUCAGUCUAGUGGUGGAAGGCGGCGCAAAGUUAAAAGUAGCCUUGGGUCAGUUCUGCUGGAGUGCCGCUUCCUCCUAACCUCCAAGCAGUUUGGCCCUGGGGUCGCUUCGUUGGUCUGACUUAUUUUUAGAGCUCUGUCCUGGGGCAGGGCUUGGCUACUGGCGAGGCUGCUCCCACCUGUCGGCUACCCUUGGAGUUCACAAUUCGCUGCUGUGGUUUCGCGGCUCGAAGCCAUCGCUGGAGUCAGGCCCACCUGCUGCCAGAGCUCGUUCCUGGCCGUUUCCGCUGGAUUGCAGAGGGAGGACAGUGUUGGACCUAGGCGUGGGUUCCCUGGGCGUGUCCCUUGGGGUCUUAGCUCUCUGGGAGGAGGGUUCUACUUAUUCGGGAGAGCGGUAACAACGUAAUCCCGUCACCUCUCCUGGCGCUGAGAGAGCGCCCCCCAAAGUAAGAUCAGCGUCAGGCCCACGCCCUAUUUGGUGAAUAAAUAAAAGCAAACUAGGAAUUGAAA